rnacentral:rRNA from 1 species
AUUGAACGCUGGCGGCAUGCCUUACACAUGCAAGUCGAACGGCAGCACGGGGCAACCUGGUGGCGAGUGGCGAACGGGUGAGUAAUGCAUCGGAACGUACCCCUCAGUGGGGGAUAACGUGGCGAAAGUUACGCUAAUACCGCAUAUUCUGUGAGCAGGAAAGCAGGGGAUCGCAAGACCUUGCGCUAAUUGAGCGGCCGAUGUCAGAUUAGCUAGUUGGUGAGGUAAAGACUCACCAAGGCGACGAUCUGUAGCGGGUCUGAGAGGAUGAUCCGCCACACUGGAACUGAGACACGGUCCAGACUCCUACGGGAGGCAGCAGUGGGGAAUUUUGGACAAUGGGGGCAACCCUGAUCCAGCCAUGCCGCGUGAGUGAAGAAGGCCUUCGGGUUGUAAAGCUCUUUCGGCCGGGAAGAAAUCGCACGGGCUAAUACCCUGUGUGGAUGACGGUACCGGAAUAAGAAGCACCGGCUAACUACGUGCCAGCCGCCGCAGUAA